rnacentral:lncRNA from 1 species
UAUCAGGGGAAUUACAGCGGGUGCUCAUCAAGUGGGAGUUCUCAGAAUUCUCUGACUGGCCGACUGCAGGUCAUAGACUGAGGUAUGGGUCUUACUUCUCUCACUCAGAUGUAAACCCACUGAGGACAAAACUCAUGGCUGAUUCAUCUCUAUCAAGCCUACUGCCUGGCAUGUGGAAUGUAUGAAUGAGUGAAUGAACGAGAAGAUGAACAAGGCAAAGCG